GUGGAUUAGAUACCCUAGUAGUCCACGCUGUAAACGAUGAGAGCUAGUUGUCGGCACGCAUGCGUGUCGGUGACGCAGCUAACGCAUUAAGCUCUCCGCCUGGGGAGUACGGUCGCAAGAUUAAAACUCAAAGAAAUUGACGGGGGCCCGCACAAGCGGUGGAGCAUGUGGUUUAAUUCGAAGCAACGCGCAGAACCUUACCCACGUUUGACAUGUCUAGUUUGGUCGGCAGAGAUGCCUUCCUUCAGUUCGGCUGGCUAGAACACAGGUGCUGCAUGGUCGUCGUCUACU
rnacentral:rRNA from 1 species